rnacentral:misc_RNA from 1 species
AAAUAGUAAAACCGAAUCAAACUGAACCGAAAAAAUCAGUUUAGUUCAGUCCAUCAGUUCCAAGAACUUUCCCCAAUCCAUGAUUACAGAGCAAAACUCUCCCCAAAUACUCGGCAAAACUUCGCCCAAAUCAUCAAUUCAUCAACAACACAACACCCAUCAAAUAUAAUCCAACAAUAACACAGAAUCACAAAAAUAGAAUGGAAACUAAGAGAUUAACUCAAAUUACAAUAAUGUCAAUUAGCUCUAAUAUAUCAAAUACAUUUCUAUCUAAAUAAAUCCGCAAAUCUACAAUCACAUUUCAUAGAAUCACACAAAUUCAGCCCUAUAUAAGGACAUAUCUACAGAAAGAGAGAAUGUUGGAACCAGGAAUUCUUGGACAUGUGACUUGGAUUUCUUGGACAUGCAGCACAGGUGAGGUGAUGAGUAGAUGACCCAUGAGUUGAGUUUGGCUCGAGAGGACAGAGAGGGAAACCAGGGAGGGGUUUCAACGGCUGUAUAUAUAGCUGAGAACAGCUAUGAAUCUGAAUCUGAAGGCUGAGGGGUUU